AGCAGUUAGAACCAAAAGGCAGUUUUACCUUGUGUGUCAGGUUAUUUAUACUAGGGAAUCCCCUAGAGAAAUCUGUUGACUUCUUGGAUACCCAAGUACCAUCAGUGGCUGGUGACACAGGAAGAAGGAUAAAUGAAGAGGGAUCUGGGGGAAGCCAGUUGUGCUUCUUAAGGCCUCCCUGUUGAGAGACUCAUGCCAGUGAACUUGGAAGCAGAUCUCCUAAAGCCUCUCAACAGCUACAGAAAUUAACUUGAAAGGAGAUCCUCUAACCAGCUGAGGCUUGAGAUGACUGCAGCCCUGGCCAGGACCUCAGUCGCAGGCUGUGAGAGUCCUGGAGCCAAAAUCACCCAGAGAAGCUACUCCUGGAUUCCCAACACAGACCAUUGAAAUAAUAAAUGUUUAUUGCUUUAACCUCUAAGG
rnacentral:lncRNA from 10 species